rnacentral:rRNA from 1 species
AACGAACGCUGGCGGCGUGCCUAACACAUGCAAGUCGAGCGCGAAUGGAGCAAUCCUAGUAGCGCGGCGAACGGGUGCGUAACACGUGGGUAAUCUGCCUAGAAGACUGGAAUAACCUGCCGAAAGGCUGGCUAAUACCGGAUAAGACCACAGAGUCUUCGGACUCCGAGGGAAAAUGGUGGCCUCUGUAUACAAGCUAUCACUUCUAGAUGAGCCCGCGGCCCAUCAGCUAGUUGGCGGGGUAAUGGCCCACCGAGGCAACGAGGGGCAGCUGGUCUGAGCUGACGAUCAGCCACAGUGGAACUGAGAAACGGUCCAGACUCCUACGGGAGGCAGCAGUGGGGAAUUUUGCACAAUGGGCGAAAGCCUGAUGCAGCAACGCCGCGUGUGUGAUGAAGGUCUUCGGAUUGUAAAGCACUUUCGACCGGGACGAACACCUGUUGGCCAACAUCCAACAGCCUGACGGUACCGGGAGAAGAAGCACCGGCUAACUCUGUGCCAGCCGCCGCAGUAAAAC